AAUAAAGUGCCUGACUAAAGGGCUAUCUUGAUAGGAUAGAUAAAACAAUUAAUUUGUCUUUAUUA
rnacentral:tRNA from 1 species